UCCAGACUCCUACGGGAGGCAGCAGUGGGGGAUAUUGCACAAUGGGGGGAACCCUGAUGCAGCGACGCCGCGUGGGUGAAGAAGUAUUUCGGUAUGUAAAGCCCUAUCGGCAGGGAAGAAAUUGGACGGUACCUGACUAAGAAGCCCCGGCUAACUACGUGCCAGCAGCCGCGGUAAUACGUAGGGGGCAAGCGUUAUCCGGAUUCACUGGGUGUAAAGGGAGCGUAGACGGCCAUGCAAGCCUGGAGUGAAAGCCCGGGGCCCAACCCCGGGACUGCUCUGGGAACUGUGCGGCUGGAGUGCGGGAGGGGCAGGCGGAAUUCCUGGUGUAGCGGUGAAAUGCGUAGAUAUCAGGAGGAACACCAGUGGCGAAGGCGGCCUGCUGGACGACAACUGACGGUGAGGCGCGAAAGCGUGGGGAGCAAACAGGAUUAGAUACCCCGGUAAAC
rnacentral:rRNA from 1 species